GUAUUUUGAAUUGUUUAUUCAUAAUAUUUUUCAGACAAAGAGUUGAGAUUAUAGUUGAUGUUUGGGGUUGAUCUCUCGAGAGAAAUCAACCCUGACAUUGCACACAAGGUGGAUAUGGAUUUAAAAAGUGCCAUAAAACACUUAUUAUGAAUGAUCCUUCCGCAGGUUCACCUACGGAAA
rnacentral:misc_RNA from 1 species